CGGUCCUUAAAUAUUUGCUUUCUCAGGAGCUUCGCCUUGGGCAUCUUGAACCCUCACUUAGUCCGUGGAAUACCCCUGUGUUCGUCAUUAAGAAACAGUCAGGGGCCUAUCGCCUGCUACAUGACUUACGUGCGGUUAAUGCUCAAUUGGUCCCCUUUGGAGCCGUGCAACAGAGUGGCCCUUUUAUUAGCCAUCCCCAGAGGAUGGCCGUUAGUAGUAAUUGAUCUUAAGGACUGCUUCUUUUCCAUUCCUCUGGCAGAGGAAGACCAGGAAGCGUUUGCCUUUAC
rfam:Meleagris gallopavo isolate NT-WF06-2002-E0010 breed Aviagen turkey brand Nicholas breeding stock chromosome 1, whole genome shotgun sequence.